UACGAAGGGGGGCUAGCGUUGUUCGGAAUUACUGGGCGUAAAGCGCGCGUAGGCGGUGAUCUUUGUCAGAGGUGAAAUCCCGAGGCUCAACUUCGGAAUUGCCUUUGAAACGGGAUCGCUUGAGUCCGAGAGAGGAUGGCGGAAUUCCUAGUGUAGAGGUGAAAUUCGUAGAUAUUAGGAAGAACACCGGUGGCGAAGGCGGCCAUCUGGCUCGGUACUGACGCUCAGGCGCGAAAGCGUGGGGGAGCAAACAGG
rnacentral:rRNA from 1 species